rnacentral:lncRNA from 1 species
AUAAUAUUUAAAUAUAAAUAAUAUUAUUAAUAUAGUAUAAUUAAUAAUUUUAUAACAAAAAAAUAUAUUAUAAUAUAUAACAUAUUAUAUUUAUAUAAUUUAGUUUUAAUUCAAUUCGUAAUUUUAAUUAAGUUUGAAAUUAAAUAUUGAAAUAGCACUAUUUCAUCAAAAUGGUGGAACAGCAAAUCCCAAUCUAUUCCGAAAUAGUCAGGAAUAGCAAUAUUUGAUCGAAAUAAAAUAUUCCUGCCAAAAAUUAUUUUGUUUGGCGGAAUAGCGAGGAUAACUUCCGUUAUCCCCGCUUAUACCGCCAACCAAACGGAGCCUAAAUGUGUCCACAACCCCUAAAUUUUAACCCAUUUUGAAAAUAAUCUUUUUCUAUUUUUUUUUAUAAUGUAUACUUUUUCU